rnacentral:tRNA from 1 species
GCCUUCGUGGUAUAACGGUAGCACGCUCGGCGCAUAUUCGAGAGGUCCAGGUUCAAAUCCUGCCGAGGUUA